rnacentral:pre_miRNA from 1 species
UCUUAUAAAUCAGCAAAGAAAGUGGCUUCUUAAGAUGGAAUCUACUUCCGGUGAAGAUGCUGUGAA